GACGAACGCUGGCGGCGUGCUUAACACAUGCAAGUCGAACGAGUGGCGAACGGGUGAGUAACACGUGGGUGAUCUGCCUUGCACUUCGGGAUAAGCUUGGGAAACUGGGUCUAAUACCGGAUAGUGCAAGAUCGGCUGGCGGCCUAUCAGCUUGUUGGUGGGGUAAUGGCUACCAAGGCGCGAAGGGUAGCCGGCCUGGGAGGGUGUACGGCCACAUGGGGACUGAGAUACGGACCAGGGGCGUACGGGGGGCAGCAGGGGGGAAUAUUGCACAAGGGGCGGAAGCCUGAGGCAGAGACGCCGGGUGGGGGAAGAAGGCCUUCGGGUGGGAAACUCCUUUCGACAGGGACGCGGUACCUGUAUAAGAAGCACCGGCUAACUACGUGCCAGCAGCCGCGGUAAUAC
rnacentral:rRNA from 1 species